UGGGGAAUUUUGGACAAUGGGCGCAAGCCUGAUCCAGCAAUGCCGCGUGCAGGAUGAAGGCCUUCGGGUUGUAAACUGCUUUUGUACGGAGCGAAAAGGUCUGCCCUAAUACGGUGGGCUCAUGACGGUACCGUAAGAAUAAGCACCGGCUAACUACGUGCCAGCAGCCGCGGUAAUACGUAGGGUGCGAGCGUUAAUCGGAACUACUGGGCGUAAAGCGUGCGCAGGCGGUUAUAUAAGACAGAGGUGAAAUCCCCGGGCUCAACCUGGGAACUGCCUUUGUGACUGCAUAGCUAGAGUACGGUAGAGGGGGAUGGAAUUCCGCGUGUAGCAGUGAAAUGCGUAGAUAUGCGGAGGAACACCGAUGGCGAAGGCAAUCCCCUGGACCUGUACUGAUGCUCAUGCACGAAAGCGUGGGGAGCAAACA
rnacentral:rRNA from 1 species